UACGUAGGGGGGCUAGCGUUGUCCGGAUUUAUUGGGCGUAAAGAGCGUGUAGCGCCAGGUAGGUCUGCUGUGAAAACUCGAGGCUCAACCUCGAGACGUCGGCGGAAACCAUCUGGCUAGAGUCCGGAAGAGGAGAGUGGAAUUCCUGGUGUAGCGGUGAAAUGCGCAGAUAUCAGGAGGAACACCGGUGGCGAAGGCGGGGUCUCUGGGGCCCGAUACUGACCGCUUGAGGGAGCGAAAAGCGUGGGGGAGCGAACGGAUUAGAAAACCCC
rnacentral:rRNA from 1 species